GGAAGAAAUGAAUCCAAGUGGCUAGGCAGCCUGCCCAGGUGACAGAGGAGCAUAAACUGGGUGUGAGAGAGGAAUGGAGCAUAUGGAAAGGGGCAAGAAAAUGAAGGUCAAAAGGAGAACUUGUUAUCUUAUAUUCUUCAGAGGUCUGCCCACUAUGAUAAAUUGUACAGGUAAGAAAAAAAUAUAUAAAGAAGUUAGUUUAUUGAUGGGAAAUAUUUUUAAGAUUUUAGGGACUAAUUCCUAAGGAACGUCUAUAGUAUUCUUAGAGAAACAUCAGCAAAUCUAUUGCAAAAAUAUUGAAAAUGCCAAUGUUAUCA
rnacentral:lncRNA from 1 species